ACCCAGUGAAAAAAUCAAAACAUCUCUUUUUUACCUUGUGCUCUCAUGACCUAGAGCAACUAGAGCUAGCUAUCAGAUCGAUUCAUUCCUCUCAUCUCAAAACCAUGAGAGGUUCUUCUUCCCCAGAAGAGACGGAAGCUAGAGACGCACCGCCUGAGCUAGGUUUUGGACACAAAAGAUUCUUCUUCAACCUCUCCUCCAGCUAACUUGGGUUUUGGUUGAGUUCUUCAAUUUCACGAACGAUUCUGAAGUAUUGAUUCACUAUUGUUGGAUGGUUUGUUCAAUUUGGUGCAGAUCAAGAUUGCCAUUGCGGUGCUGUUGGUUGUUGUAAAAAACUUGGUGUACAACCUUCCAAACCAAUUAAAGAUGUCAUCAGUUGCUGCUUUGAAACUAGUAGCAAGGAAUGAAUGUUUAAAGAUAAUAGUAACAAUGCGCACAGCAAUAAUUCAAGAUAUCAAAUCCUUAGAAAACGACCUCUGAAUCGAAGUGCGGGUAUGCAG